UCCUCCUUUCUGUCAGCGGCCUCCUCAAAGACGGCGGUUCGCUUCAGCCCCGUGGCUUCUCUCCUCCUCUCCGCCACCUUCCGGCCCUGCGCAAAGGUGGAGCCGCGAUGGCACCUCGCACCGUCAAAGCUGCCACGGCUGCGGUUCAUUAUCGGCGAGAGAAGGCCGGAUCCGCGUAGGGGAUGUGCUCCAAGUCGUCCCCAUCCAGAUGCGAGGCCUUCGCGCUCCUACCGUCCUCGACGCGACCACGUGGCAGCAGGCGCCAGACUCCCCUUGGCCUCACCACUUGCUCCUGUCGGAGAGACUCAGUUCGCUCGCCGCUGGUAGGAUCAAAGGUCCUGCCGCACGGCAGCUAUGCCAAGCUGGGCGGCGCACCUGCGAGGUGCGAGCCGCGAGACGACGCUAUGGGCGGAGCGCGGUUGCAAGGCCGAGCUGCGCAGCGCUGCCAACCCCCAUCAAGUUCAGCGCUGAUUCAUCAUUGUCGAGUCCCCUGUGUUUGAUGGCCACGGCAAAGAACAAGGAUCAUAUCUAAAGAAGCAACACCUGUGGUUCUCGGCAAGGAUAUAUGAAUUGAGGUAAGCGCUGCCUGGAAAUUCCUAAAUAAUGCUCAUGUAUCUACAUGUUACAUAUUAUUGCCUUGCUUUCAGCAGGUUUAUUUAGUGCAAAAUUUGAAUGCAAUAUUAAAUUUUAUUCUUCUGAGAGCGACCUACACCACUGUUCAUGGUAUAUAUAUCAUUUGUCUUUAUUUAAAUUGCUCAUGGCCUGCCGAAGAAUGAACAUAAUAGUUUAGUUUAUUAUCUUUGUACAGGCCUAAUUCAUGAGGCUAAUUAACUAAUCUUCAGUGCUGAUUGCCUCUUAUUAGCUACCAUAUAUGUCACCGUGUCAGCUUACCUCUUCUUUCUAUUUGCAUCUGCGCAAUUGCAUUUUAGUAGUCAAGUUAAGUUGUUUUUGUUCCUUCUUCAGCUUUACAAACAAAACUGGUAUAAAACAAACUCAGAGUGGCUUUUGAUUUUUGCUAUUGUUUCUGCCCUUUUACCCUGCAAUGCAAGAACUAUCAGGCUAUCUCUAUGGACUUGCAGUUACCAAACAGGUAAAACUAUGUUGCCUUUUCAGCUUUAGAGACAAAAUUAGUAUGAAGUAACCUCGGUGUACCUUUUUAUUCUUACUUUUGUUUCUAUAUCUGUCCCUGCACUAAGAGAACCCUAUAUGGACUUGCAGUAACAGUAUUAAGGAUUACUUUUGCUGCAGUACAAAUUUUUGUUCACUGACAACCUAAAGCACUUCAAAGUCAUGACAUUGGCCAGUUCUAGCCUUUGGUGGCCUUUUGUGUGGGUUCAGACUAAAUUGGUGAUGUUUAGCCUGCAAAGUGAUUGCAGUUUUCAUUUCAGGAUUGGUAUUAAAAGAUUGGAGCCCUGAAGCAUAUGCUUCUCAUUAGUACCAUUCAGCACACUAGCACCAGUGUUAUGAGGGUCUCAUGUAAGGUGGCAAUUCUUCUGCCGAUUUCUUUUCUUUGGCAUUAUCCAGGGCAUCAGGACCACUUUGACAAUCAGAAUUCAUAUGCAUGCUUACAAAGCUAUCCAUAUAAGACAUUGUGGAAUGAUGCUUACAAAAUUUGUUGCACUAUAUAAUAUACUUUUUUGGUACAUACUUCG